rnacentral:rRNA from 1 species
UACCGCGGUUAUACGAAAUGGCUCAAGUUGACAAAACCCGGCGUAAAGAGUGGUUAGGAAGAACAUAAGCUAAAGACGAACGCUCCCCAGGCAGUGAUACGUACUCCGGAGAGAUGAAGCCCCGCCACGAAAGUGUCUUUAUUAGACCUGAACCCACGACAACUAAAAAA